rnacentral:sRNA from 1 species
UACCGUCCUCACCCGGCGCCUUGUGCCUCU